rnacentral:rRNA from 1 species
UAGGCGGGUAGUUAAGUCAGAAGUGAAAUCCAAUAGCUCAACUAUUGAACUGCUUUUGAAACUGAUUACCUAGAAUAUGGGAGAGGUAGAUGGAAUUUCUGGAGUAGGGGUAAAAUCCGUAGAGAUCAGAAGGAAUACCGAUUGCGAAGGCGAUCUACUGGAACAUUAUUGACGCUGAGACGCGAAAGCGUGGGGAGCAAACAGGAUUAGAUACCCUGGUAGUCCACGCCCUAAACGAUGUACACUAGUUGUUGUGAGGCUCGACCUUGCAGUAAUGCAGUUAACACAUUAAGUGUACCGCCUGGGGAGUACGGUCGCAAGAUUAAAACUCAAAGGAAUAGACGGGGACCCGCACAAGCGGUGGAGCAUGUGGUUUAAUUCGACGAUACACGAAGAACCUUACCUGGACUUGACAUAGUAAGAACUUUCUAGAGAUAGAUUGGUGUCUGCUUGCAGAAACUUAUAUACAGGUGCUGCACGGCUGUCGUCAGCUCGUGUCGUGAGAUGUUGGGUUAAGUCCCGCAACGAGCGCAACCCUCGUCAUUAGUUGCUAACAGUUCGGCUGAGAACUCUAAUGAGACUGCCUACGCAAGUAGGAGGAAGGUGAGGACGACGUCAAGUCAUCAUGGCCCUUACGUCCAGGGCUACACACGUGCUACAAUGGGGUAUACAAAGAGCCGCAAUACGGUGACGUGGAGCAAAUCUCAAAAAUAUCUCCCAGUUCGGAUUGUAGUCUGCAACUCGACUA